rnacentral:rRNA from 1 species
AUUGAACGCUGGCGGCAUGCCUUACACAUGCAAGUCGAACGGCAGCACGGGAGCAAUCCUGGUGGCGAGUGGCGAACGGGUGAGUAAUAUAUCGGAACGUGCCCAGUCGUGGGGAUAACGUAGCGAAAGCUACGCUAAUACCGCAUACGAUCUAUGGAUGAAAGCGGGGGAUCGCAAGACCUCGCGCGAUUGGAGCGGCCGAUAUCAGAUUAGGUAGUUGGUGAGGUAAAGGCUCACCAAGCCGACGAUCUGUAGCUGGUCUGAGAGGACGACCAGCCACACUGGGACUGAGACACGGCCCAGAACUCCUACGGGAGGCAGCAGUGGGGAAUUUUUGGACAAUGGGCGCAAGCCUGAUCCAGCAAUGCCGCGUGCAGGAUGAAGGCCUCGGUUGU